rnacentral:rRNA from 1 species
GUGGGGAAUCUUCCGCAAUGGACGAAAGUCUGACGGAGCAACGCCGCGUGAGUGAAGAAGGUUUUCGGAUCGUAAAGCUCUUUCGUUAGGGACGAACGUGCUCUUUGUGAAUAAUGAGGAGUAAUGGCGGUACCUAAAUAAGAAGCCACGGCUAACUACGUGCCAGCAGCCGCGGUAAUACGUAGGUGGCAAGCGUUGUCCGGAAUUAUUGGGCGUAAAGCGCGCGCAGGCGGGAUAUCAAGUCUGUCUUAAAAGUGCGAGGCUCAACCUCGUGAGGGGACAGAAACUGGUAUUCUUGAGUGUCGGAGAGGAAAGUGGAAUUCCAAGUGUAGCGGUGAAAUGCGUAGAGAUUUGGAAGAACACCAGUGGCGAAGGCGACUUUCUGGACGAUGUCUGACGCUGAGGCGCGAAAGCUAGGGGAGCGAACGGGAUUAGAUACCCCGGUAGUCC